rnacentral:rRNA from 1 species
GACAGAGGGUGCGACCGUUGUUCGGAAUUACUGGGCGUAAAGCGCGUGUAGGCGGCAGCGUGUGUCGGGCGUGAAAUCCCACGGCUCAACCGUGGAAGUGCACUCGAAACUGCGCAGCUAGAGUCCUGGAGAGGAAGGUGGAAUGCUUGGUGUAGAGGUGAAAUUCGUAGAUAUCAAGCGGAACACCGGUGGCGAAGGCGGCCUUCUGGACAGUGACUGACGCUGAGACGCGAAAGCGUGGGGAGCAAACAGG